UUUUAGGUAAUUUAUAUAGAAUAUUUAACUGUUACUUAAAGUGAGGCAACUUGCCCCUAAAAG
rnacentral:tRNA from 1 species